rnacentral:rRNA from 1 species
UACGUAGGAGGCAAGCGUUGUCCGGAAUUACUGGGCGUAAAGCGCGUGUAGGUGGUGGGACAAGUCUGCUGUGAAAGCGCCUGGCUUAACCGGGCGAGGUCGGCGGAAACUGUCCGACUCGAGGACGGUAGAGGGGGGUGGAAUUCCCGGUGUAGUGGUGAAAUGCGUAGAGAUCGGGAGGAACACCUGUGGCGAAGGCGGCCCCCUGGGCCGGCCCUGACACUGAGACGUGAAGGCGUGGGGAGCGAACGGG